rnacentral:rRNA from 1 species
CCUACGGGAGGCUGCAGUGAGGAAUAUUGGUCAAUGGGCGCGAGCCUGAACCAGCCAAGUCGCGUGAGGGAGGACGGCCCUACGGGUUGUAAACCUCUUUUGCCGGGGAGCAACGGGCGUCACGUGUGGCGCCACUGAGAGUACCCGGAGAAAAAGCAUCGGCUAACUCCGUGCCAGCAGCCGCGGUAAUACGGAGGAUGCGAGCGUUAUCCGGAUUUAUUGGGUUUAAAGGGAGCGUAGAUGGGUUGUUAAGUCAGUUGUGAAAGUUUGCGGCUCAACCAUAGAAUUGCCGUUGAAACUGGGAGGCUUGAGUAUGUUUGAGGCAGGCGGAAUGCGUGGUGUAGCGGUGAAAUGCUUAGAUAUCACGCAGAACCCGGAUGGCGAAGGCAGCCUGCCAAGCCAUGACUGACGCUGAUGCACGAAAGCGUGGGGAUCAAACAGGAUUAGAUACCCGAGUAGUC